AUUGAACGCUGGCGGCAGGCCUAACACAUGCAAGUCGAACGGUAACAGGAAACAGCUUGCUGUUUCGCUGACGAGUGGCGGACGGGUGAGUAAUGUCUGGGAAACUGCCUGAUGGAGGGGGAUAACUACUGGAAACGGUAGCUAAUACCGCAUAACGUCGCAAGACCAAAGAGGGGGACCCUCGGGCCUCUUGCCAUCGGAUGUGCCCAGAUGGGAUUAGCUUGUUGGUGGGGUAACGGCUCACCAAGGCGACGAUCCCUAGCUGGUCUGAGAGGAUGACCAGCCACACUGGAACUGAGACACGGUCCAGACUCCUACGGGAGGCAGCAGUGGGGAAUAUUGCACAAUGGGCGCAAGCCUGAUGCAGCCAUGCCGCGUGUAUGAAGAAGGCCUUCGGGUUGUAAAGUACUUUCAGCGGGGAGGAGGGGAGUAAAGUUAAUACCUUUGCUCAUUGACGUUACCCGCAGAAGAAGCACCGGCUAACUCCGUG
rnacentral:rRNA from 1 species